rnacentral:lncRNA from 1 species
CAUGGAGCCUAGAAACUUACUCAUGGACCAGGCAACGAGGCUGGCUGCUCAGGAGGACCCUGGGAUCCUCUGGCUUGUGCCUCUCCUCCACAAGAUGAAAACGUGUACUUCCCGCAGUGAGAAAUCACCCCACCCACUCAGGAAAGCAAGGAGUCCAUUCUUUCAGCUCUUUACUGAGGCUCUCACAACUGCCUGUGCCUGCUACUCAAAGGGUCUCUCGAUGUAGUCCUGGCUGUUCUGGAAUUCACUAUGUAGACCAAGCUGAACUUCAACUCAUAGAAAUCCACCUGCCUCCACCCCAAGAGUGCUGGGGCUAAAGGAACGCACUUCACUCUGAACAAUUUAAACAGAGAAGGAGACUAUAAAUCUGGCCACUUAGGCAGAUGGGAGGUUUACACAGCAAAGACACUGCAUACUGCAUACAACUGAGCAGUUGUUACCAGGACCGUCUUGCCUACCUGGCAGAAUCAUGCUCUUCCUGACAAGCCCACAGAAGACUUAAUGGUGGACCAGAACUUCAGGACAGUGUGCGCCCAGACUGCCAUUUGAGCUGCCUGUUAGAAGUCUGUCUUUGUGUGGGAAUGGGGCUAGGUGUAAGUCCAUGCUGUCCCAUUUGUCAGUCCUGGAGAGCAAACAUUAACUGGCCUGGUGGCAGACUGCUUAUCUUCUAGGUACUUUGGAGGUGGCAUCCCUUUAGCUAUUAUAUAUAUAAAAUCUCCCUUGUGUGGUUUGGUGUCUCCUAAGCUAACCUAUUAGUAAGUCCU